GAAUAAGGUAGCAAGGAGCCUGUGUGUAG
rnacentral:piRNA from 1 species